AUUGAACGCUGGCGGCAGGCCUAACACAUGCAAGUCGAGCGGUAGAGAGAAGCUUGCUUCUCUUGAGAGCGGCGGACGGGUGAGUAAUACCUAGGAAUCUGCCUGAUAGUGGGGGAUAACGUUCGGAAACGGACGCUAAUACCGCAUACGUCCUACGGGAGAAAGCAGGGGACCUUCGGGCCUUGCGCUAUAAGAUGAGCCUAGGUCGGAUUAGCUAGUUGGUGAGGUAAUGGCUCACCAAGGCUACGAUCCGUAACUGGUCUGAGAGGAUGAUCAGUCACACUGGAACUGAGACACGGUCCAGACUCCUACGGGAGGCAGCAGUGGGGAAUAUUGGACAAUGGGCGAAAGCCUGAUCCAGCCAUGCCGCGUGUGUGAAGAAGGUCUUCGGAUUGUAAAGCACUUUAAGUUGGGAGGAAGGGCAUUAACCUAAUACGUUAGUGUCUUGACGUUACCGACAGAAUAAGCACCGGCUAACUCUGUGCCAGCAGCCGC
rnacentral:rRNA from 1 species